ACUUAAAUUGAAGAGUUUGAUCAUGGCUCAGAUUGAACGCUGGCGGCAGGCCUAACACAUGCAAGUCGAGCGGUAGCACAGAGAGCUUGCUCUCGGGUGACGAGCGGCGGACGGGUGAGUAAUGUCUGGGAAACUGCCUGAUGGAGGGGGAUAACUACUGGAAACGGUAGCUAAUACCGCAUAACGUCGCAAGACCAAAGUGGGGGACCUUCGGGCCUCAUGCCAUCAGAUGUGCCCAGAUGGGAUUAGCUAGUAGGUGGGGUAACGGCUCACCUAGGCGACGAUCCCUAGCUGGUCUGAGAGGAUGACC
rnacentral:rRNA from 1 species